UACGUAGGGGGCAAGCGUUGUCCGGAUUUAUUGGGCGUAAAGAGCGUGUAGGCGGCCUGACAGGUCUGCUGUGAAAACUCGAGGCUCAACCUCGAGAUGUCGGCGGAAACCGUCUGGCUAGAGUCCGGAAGAGGAGAGUGGAAUUCCUGGUGUAGCGGUGAAAUGCGCAGAUAUCAGGAAGAACGCCUAUGGCGAAGGCAGCUCUCUGGGACGGUACUGACGCUGAGACGCGAAAGCGUGGGGAGCGAACAGG
rnacentral:rRNA from 1 species